rnacentral:rRNA from 1 species
GGUUGAUAGGUUAAGAGCUGAUUAACUGGACGUUACCCACAGAAGAAGCACCGGCUAACUCCGUGCCAGCAGCCGCGGUAAUACGGAGGGUGCGAGCGUUAAUCGGAAUUACUGGGCGUAAAGGGUGCGUAGGUGGUUGAUUAAGUUAUCUGUGAAAUUCCUGGGCUUAACCUGGGACGGUCAGAUAAUACUGGUUGACUCGAGUAUGGGAGAGGGUAGUGGAAUUUCCGGUGUAGCGGUGAAAUGCGUAGAGAUCGGAAGGAACACCAGUGGCGAAGGCGGCUACCUGGCCUAAUACUGACACUGAGGCACGAAAGCGUGGGGAGCAAACAGGAUUAGAUACCCUGGUAGUCCACGCUGUAAACGAUGUCAACUAGCUGUUGGUUAUAUGAAAAUAAUUAGUGG